rnacentral:rRNA from 1 species
GACGAACGCUGGUGGCGUGCCUAAUACAUGCAAGUAGAACGCACAGUUUAUACCGUAGCUUGCUACACCAUAGACUGUGAGUUGCGAACGGGUGAGUAACGCGUAGGUAACCUGCCUGGUAGCGGGGGAUAACUAUUGGAAACGAUAGCUAAUACCGCAUAAUAUUAAUUAUUGCAUGAUAAUUAAUUGAAAGGUGCAAUUGCACCACUACCAGAUGGACCUGCGUUGUAUUAGCUAGUAGGUGAGGUAACGGCUCACCUAGGCGACGAUACAUAGCCGACCUGAGAGGGUGAUCGGCCACACUGGGACUGAAACACGGCCCAGACUCCUACGGGAGGCAGCAGUAGGGAAUCUUCGGCAAUGGACGAAAGUCUGACCGAGCAACGCCGCGUGAGUGAAGAAGGUUUUCGGAUCGUAAAGCUCUGUUGUAAGAGAAGAACGGGUGUGAGAGUGGAAAGUUCACACUGUGACGGUAUCUUACCAGAAAGGGACGGCUAACUACGUG